rnacentral:tRNA from 1 species
GGAGGGAUACCGAAGUGGUCAUAACGGGGCGGUCUUGAAAACCGUUAGGGCGCAAGCCCACAAGGGUUCGAAUCCCUUUCCCUCCGCCA